CCCACAGCAGGGGGUGGAACAAGAUGCUCUUUAAGGUCCCUUCCAACCCAAAGCAUUCCAUGAUUCUGUGGUCUUUAGCUACUUGUGACAGAAAGUAACAGCACUUGAGUACUUCAUUCUCAAGCAAAAGCCAGGGAGAAGGACAAUGGUAACAAGCAGACAAAUCCCACAUCUUCUCCUUCCACAGGGAGAAGGACACUGGUAACAAAUCCCACUAUCAUCUCAUCUCAUCUCACUUCUGUCUCUCAGCACCUUAGGCUUUUCCAGGAAAGGAACCUCUUUUUCCAUAGGCACAAACUUUCUCUCCCACCAAUUUUUCUCCAGCUCCUGCUCAGGAUCAGCUGUGAUAACAUCACCUUCCCUUUUCCUGCCUGGAUCAUUCCUUUCCCUGCCCCUUUCCCGUAAUUUCAUAUCCCACAGUCCCGAGCCUUGGCAGAGGUCUGCAGCAGCCUUUGAGCAGUGCAGGAAAAAGAAUAAAUUUUUAUUUUACUUUAUUUUGGCAACCUCUCUAUAGUACAACGUGUAUGUUCCCUUCUGUAGGAGAACACCGAGGCAUCAUUAAGGACUUGAUGAGUCCUGUUGUUCAUCGAUUCAGUGCUCACUAAUAAAUCACUGCUUGCAGCCCUCUGCUGGUCCUUUUGAGUCAUAAUUGAAUUUUUUUAAAAUUUGUUAUUGAUAAUCCAAGAAUAUUCCAUUCAGCAUCAGUAAUGAGGUGAGAUGCAAGGAGCUGUCUCUGCUUAACCACCAGACUCAGUGAUCCUAAAAGUCUUUUCCAACCUAAACCACUCUGUGAUUACCAGCACACAUCCAGAUCAUUCGAGGUGUGAUGAAGAAUAAGUGCAUGAAACUGUGUUGUGUUACCAUGUGUAAAUAAAUUUACCACUGUAAAUAAAAGAUUCCUUCAAAGGCACACCAAGCUCCCUUUGGGAACAGCUUGAAAGACCCUGAGAAUGAUGACUUCAUACCUCCUCUGCUUGCUUCCAGGAAUUACUUUAAGUGUAAUGACUGCUCUGGAUUACUUUUUAUCUCUGUUAUUAAUGUUACAUUGACAUUGUCUUGUUUCUUUGUAAAGUUUUGAGAACAAGAAGGCCUUAACUGUAUCUUUUAGGUAUUUUUUCCUCCAGCCUAUUCCCGAGCUGCCUGAAGAAAUAUCUCCCUGGUCUUUCAAGGUUCACAGCAGAAUAAAGAAAUUUAAUAACCAAGUGACCUUAAGAAAUAAACACAUCUUUCUUUCUUUCUUUUUUUUUUCCCCCGUGUUCUUUUCCAGCACUGCCACACAGAGGCAGAGUUGAGGCUGCUUCCAAACUGGAAAGAGUGAGGGAAGAAAAUCCUUAUCACUUAGAAACGACCUGGAUUUCCUACUGGGGACACCGAGUCAUUUUUCAAGUGCCCUGAGGUGCCCUGAGAACGAGCUGAGCACUAAACCAGGCAGAUGAGCAGCAGGAGCCUGAGGUCUGACCUUCUGAAGGACCACUUGAGGAGAGCAGAGGCCCGGCCAGGUGAUUAUUUCAAGCUCUGCAGUGCCUGGAUGAGGUACAGCAUUGGAGCCCUGACCUCAUUUAUAGCUCCUGCAUUUAUGAAAAGCCAAGAGAUUAUGCAGAGAGCUUUCCUGAGGGUGAUCAUAUGAGGCAGGAGACAUGAAGUCAUCGUCCUGAAGCCCAAGGUGAAAUCAGGCUGUCCCAAAAAACCCCAGGCAGGCCUAGGGAUGCAUCUCAUAGUGCUGCAGGAAGGAAAACUGAUCCAGCUUAAUUUUUUUAGGGUGUUUUCCUAAGAGAUCUCCUGAAGGGGACUUUGUGGUCAGUUUAGUCCUUCCAACCAACACACAACCACAAUUUGAUCAAGUUUAGGGUUAUAAAAAUACCAAGUGUCUGUGAAUUUCAUGAGUUGUCCAGUUAGAGUGAGCACUUCUGCCAGGCUGUUUCCUGGCUUUAUCCUGUAGGGAAAGCUGGCAUUUAAAAUCUCACUCAAAGCAGUUUUCUGGGCUUAAGAGUUAGAAGACCAAAAAUCAAGAGGCAAUUACUUUUCUGUAGCUCAGCAUUUCAUUCCAGGAAGACAAUCCAGGUAUCAAUUCUUCCUCCUGCAGAAAAAAAUCCUGGCUUUAAUGGGAAAUAAUUCAAUCCUAUCUGCCUGAACUGAAGCCCACAGAGGUGCCUUUGACUUCCCAGGAGCCAGGUUGGGCUUGGUGCCUGUGAACAUGGCUUUCCCACUGCACAUGGUUGGGAAUGAUUAGCAGAACCCCCUGUCCUGCUUGGAGAAGCCCCCGUUGGAAAGCACAUUCCCGCCCAACAGCCCAGUCCUUCUGCUCUGCAGCACCUGGGAUAUCCCAGCAAAGCCUCCCAGGGUCCAGAAGAUCCCUGGGGGUUCAGGUUUUUGGGAGCUUCAGUGUGAGCAAAGCCUUCCCCAUGCUCAGCUCCUGCUGUUACACAACCCGUGCCCGCCCGCGGUUUGCGUCAGCUGCAGAAAAUGCACAGUAAGGUUUUGCUGCUUCCCACUUUGGAAAGCCACUUGGAAGACCUCAGAAUUACAACAGCCCUUCUCACAACCCAUCAGCCUUUCCUCCCAGUGCUAAGAAACUCCAGUAACUGCUAAUUAUUCAGUAAUUAAGUGUCUCUCCGGGGUUGUAAUUGUGAGUCUGGUCUCUCCCCGUCACUGGGUGCUCCUUAGGUAGCAGUUUUCUCAAGGCCCAAACAAAUUCUCUCCUUUCCAUUUGAUUGGAUUACAAAAUUGCUUUAAACUCUGUGGAGAUGAUUAGGAAAAGUCUGUUUUUGCGCCACAGUUGCCAUGGGAACUAAAGGAGAGAGAGAUCUUUAUAAACCACAAGUCAAGCAGAUUGUGUUGCAGACAAUUAAUAUUGUCUCGUUCAUCUGCCUUAACUCUUCUGUGCACUUAUCCCAAAAUAGUUUUUGUCUCUUUUUCCAUGUCAAAUUCUGUGUCAAAGAGAUUCUGCUCCCUCAAGGAUUCACCCCUCACUCUCUUGCAAGGUCAUCCUGGUUAGUUAUAUCUUCCUCUUCUUCUUUGCCUCUUUGGUCUGGGGACACCUCUGGGUGGGAUUUGGUUUGGGACUGGGACACAAGUGUGGGAGAAGUGUCAAAGCUCCCAUCCUGUCACUGGAACCAGAGCACACUGGUGGCUGGGCUGAGCAGCUCUAAAUGCUUCUCCUGCACCAACCCCUCUGCUCUCUUUGCUAACACUCCAGACUCCUCAAACCUUCAUUUCUUCUAAUUCCAUGUUUGAUACUUUAGGGAAGAGAACUGAUAAUUGACCCAGUGCUGGUCCCUCUGCUCUCCUCUCUUUCCAAACCCUCUUCCUCCAGCCCCAUCCCAUCUCCUGAGUUCUCUCUCACCUGCCCUCUCCCACAUCCUGCCAUCCUCUGGCUCUCUCCUCACACCACAGGUGUUGCACUUUAAAAAUAAUUAGCAAAGGAAUGUCCUUAUUUUCCUCCAGACCUCUGCCUGACUCUCUGAACGGGAGGAAUUCCCCUACCAAGGGAAUUCAAUAUUCAUUCAUUUAAAAAGCAGGCUCCUCCUCAGCCCCCUCCCCUGUGCAGCACUGAUUUCCUUCCUCUGGAUUCGGGGUUGGAUAUGGGAUUACUUAUUUUCCCAGGGGCUGAUCCAUCAUGCUGUUGUUUCAGUUGUUUCAGUUCUCCUCAAACAGCUUUUCUGUCCCAUCAGAGGCAGAAGCUGCUUUCAGCUGCUUCAUUUUUAGGCCACUGUUCAGAUCCCUGAACACAGGGUUGUGAUCCCAGUUCUUCCACCAUCCCACCUGUUUCACAAGAGCAGCCACGGGAUUUGAAAAAGGCAAGGGCCAAAACACCAAACUUCCAAUUCCUGAUCAAAAUCAGGGGAGAGUGAGACGACCUCAGAGAAACACAGGGGAGAAUCAGCAUUGCAUGAGGUAACCCUCCUCUUUUCCCUGGCUCCAGCCUCCAACUGAUUUUGGCAGAAACCUUCCAGAAUAUUUGUUCUGAGGCAGCCUGGAACACGUCAGCAGGCGAGAUCUCAGCUCAGGAAGAUGAGAGGAGACUGAGAGCAGGGGCUUGCAGUGGGAAAUGCUGGGCAGUCAGAAAUGUAGGUGCUGGCACCUCCUCUGCUCACACCAUUUUGCUGAAAAAUAGGCACAAACCAGAGAGCACAGAGCAAAGCACGUAUGUGUGUGCUCUUGCACACCCAACAGCCAGGCACAAAAUGACCAUCUCCUGCCCUCCAAAUACUUAUUUGCUCCGAGUUUACUCUGACCUGCUGAUUUUCCAUCCCUGAAAGUUGCUCUUGGUUCCAGGAGACAGCGAAUAUUGUGCUGACUGAAACCCAUUUGCUGCAUUUUAGUCACAAGAAACCCGUUGCCUGGGGGCCAGCACAGGAUUGUGCCUGAGGGUGUCCAAAGACAUAGAAGGGAAAAUGAUAUUAAAAGUGUUUUCUUACAAAAUGUCACUUUUUUUUUGCAGGAGGAAGGUCUGGGCAGGUAUUUUUGUACUGUUUUGGGAGCUCCAGCAGACGUUACGUGCACAGGGCAAGACAAAAAAUAGGCCAUAUUUAACUCAUUAUUCUCAGUCCAUAAAAACAUUCCACUUCAGGCUCGGUUUCUAGCCUUAAAAAUCCAUGAGGCAGGAGAGAUGUCAGCACACCCUGCAUUUUCCCUGUCACCAUGGAAAAGGAAGCCUGUGUAACCUGAGAAGCUGGAACCAGGCAAGAAGAACCAGAAGGUGUUUAUUGUGGCCAGUGCUCCAUGUGGGUGCAUUCCCAGUCACCUGCCUUGUGCAGGCUGUGGAGAUCCAACCUCUGUGUUCCCUGCAGUCUCUGAGGCUGGAGGAAUUUCUCUGGGAAGCCUGUGGGGAAGUGAUGUUGUUUUGAAGCCAAAAAUAAUUCUUUCAGAUAGACAACUUGAUCUGUAACAGGCCCUUUACCUCGCUGCUAUCAGAUAAUGCUGGUGAGAUGCAGGUCAUGACCUUCAGGAGGAUUAUGGUGGAUUAUUAGAUCAGAUUAGAUUAGAUUAUCUUCCUGGAUAAGGUCAGGAGGGGCAUGGGGUGAGAGGGAGAUUUUCCACAUAUCCCCAGGCAUCCAGGUGUUCUUGGGGGGGGGAUCACCUCACUCCUCCUUUUCUUUGCAUCCCUGUUCCAUCUAUUUCAGCCUGCCCUGUGUGGGCACUGAUGCCAACCUCUUUCUAGUCAUAUCCUUGCUGUUCAGAUCAAACCCACUGUGCCAGGCAGAGCCACAAACAGAGCCCUGGAAGCUUUUCCACCCUCGGAAGGAGACGGGCUGGCUGCUCUUGGCAGAAAUCCCGCUGCUGCUUAAUUGGAAAAAGGGUUUCAAAUCAGGCUGGUGUUUUUUCUUUAAGUAAGGCAUCUCAAAUGGAGAGCUCAGCAUCAAAGAAUCGAGCAGAGCAGCACAGAAACAGCAACAAGAGCAUCUAACAAGGCAGAGAAUGUGAGUUCAGUGAUUCCUGACCCUGGUGAGGCUGGAAAGAGAGACAGUGCUUCCAAGGUUGUCUUUGAGCACAAGGGAACAUUUCUCCUUGUGACUUUUCUAUUUUGCAGCAAAAAGAGAAGCACAGCAACAGAACAAAACUGUUCUUCCAGAAGGAACCAUCAUAUCUAACCAAAUAUCUACUCAUUGACACUGAGGGGCUCCGAGUCAGGCUCACAAGAGCAUGAACAGCACAUCAGGAUUUUGGAUUUAACACCCCUUCCCCAUUUCUCUGCCUGGAAAGACCUUCUCUGAGUAGCCCUAUUGCUGAUGGGCAUUUGCUCUCCUGGGCUGGGAUUAGGAUGGCAGAAACUUGGCAGCUUUCAAAUCCAAAUUCCCUGAGACUGGAAGAGUUUUGAUCUCACUCUGGACUUUAUUAUUUACAUUUUCUUUUCAUGGCUUCAUGGCCACAUGGUUUUGCCUUUAUACAGUGGGUGUGCAUUGGCCACACUCGUUCUCACAGGCAGCUUGUAAGGUUUCCUAAAAACUUCUGCUAUUUUUAGAACUAAUAUUUUCUUGUGCACUGUGGGAAUUACAGUCCCAGUCCCCAGGGAGUGUGAGGGACAGGCUGUGAUAAGGGUGGACUUGCUGGGUCACUCACAGGAGGGUUUUUUUGUCACUCUGUACCUUCCUCCACUGCUGCCACUGAGGCCCAAGGGGUUACCCUGAUCAACCUGCAGAGCAGGAGCUGGUUGUUCUUUAUGUUCUCUGUAAAUUCAGAUGGAAGCCUAUUUUCACUAAAAAAAAAAAAAAUGGAUUUAUUCACCCCUUUGCAAUAAAAACAGAGUCAUUUUAA